ACCUGCUAAAUAGCCAGACCGUCUUCUGAUGGUCGCUGGCUUCUUAGAGGGACUGUCAGGAUCUACCUGACGGAAGUUUGAGGCAAUAACAGGUCUGUGAUGCCCUUGACCGUAAUCGAAUUACAUCUAGGGGCAAAAAGUGGGCAUCCAAAGUGCUACGCUAGUGAGAUCCGAGAUCUUGCAACACAUUCAAAUUGCGGGGAAAUCCUUAGAGCU
rnacentral:rRNA from 1 species